UUUAAGGAUCUAACACAUGCAACAUGGGGCGUGUUGGAUGAUACUGCAAACAAUCUUAAGACCAUUAUACCACAAGCAUUUCUUUAUAUAGGUCAAAACAAGUCAAAAAUAGACCGUUCUGGAUUCUGACUGAGAAAGGUGUUACGAAUCUAUCCAAAUAAAUAAUCACGAACAAAAAAGUAAAAGCAACUAAAUUGGAGUGAUAUCAGACUAAAAUAUGGGGAAGAAAUUUUACUUUCUUAAUUAACAGUUUGUUUUUGUAGUCUUUGUUGUGGUUUGAUGAUGAUCAUGAUAUACGAGCAAAUUGUUAUGAGCUGGAGGAAGUUCGCUUUUUAAACACAAAAUUGUGGUGCAAUGGACAAUGUGGGGAUGGGGGGAGUUAAAAAAAUUAAUCAUGAUGAUCGCACAUGAAGGAGCGAGCAUCUGCUUAGCUAGACAAAAAUACAAGUGGCGUCCAAUAUCUCGUGAUGCGCGAGUAAACAGGUAAUAAGCCGAGAAAUCAUCAGAAAAAAUAAUGAAAUAAAAUAAAAAUAAACAUGAUCGUAACCAAUUAUAUUAUAUUAUCUUAGGAGGGAUGGCUGGCUGCACUCUCUAAAAAAUAGCUAGUGAAGAAUAUGUCCAUAGACAUGGUUAUAUCAUUAUAUGACUAUGAGGGUUAUAUGCAUUACUAUGAAUAUCGUGGCUCCAAAUUCCCUAAACACUUCUCAGUCUUCAAUUUGCCGUUCAAUAUUUGCCGGGUUUUAAAGCAUUUCAAUCUUGAGGUAUACUAGUCACGAUGGCUGAUCGAGAACUGUUGCAGAACUGUCCCUCCUCAACAUGAUUGUGCCAAAAUUUGAUGAUUAUAUUUGACAACUAUGACAGCUGUAUUUGUAAAGCUAUUACGAACUCUGAACCUAUAAUACUUAUCCUUUUAACGAAGACAAAUUCCAAGAGAUUUAAGAGGAAAAAUACUUCAAGUCUCUGCUCACUAAAUACUUAGACCUAAACCACUGAAGCCAUAAAGCUGAUCGUAAUCGAUACAGUGACCAUGAAUAGAUGUAAGUAUUCAAAACAUGCUGCAAACUGCUUAUUGUAAAUGCUAAUACCACCGUCUGCCCAGUCAAUUACCCUUUCUUUGAUGAUGAAUAUGCUUAAAUUUGCAUUUUAAGUCUCAUUGAAUGCUGCCUAAUUAUGUGCCAAAGUUAAUUUUAGCCGCGUA